UUUAUACGGUGAAACUGCGAAUGGCUCAUUAAAUCAGUUAUCGUUUAUUUGAUAGUACCUUACUACAUGGAUACCUGUGGUAAUUCUAGAGCUAAUACAUGCUAAAAACCUCGACUUCGGAAGGGGUGUAUUUAUUAGAUAAAAAACCAAUGCCCUUCGGGGCUCCUUGGUGAAUCAUAAUAACUUAACGAAUCGCAUGGCCUUGCGCCGGCGAUGGUUCAUUCAAAUUUCUGCCCUAUCAACUUUCGAUGGUAGGAUAGUGGCCUACCAUGGUGGCAACGGGUAACGGGGAAUUAGGGUUCGAUUCCGGAGAGGGAGCCUGAGAAACGGCUACCACAUCCAAGGAAGGCAGCAGGCGCGCAAAUUACCCAAUCCCGACACGGGGAGGUAGUGACAAUAAAUACUGAUACGGGGCUCUUUUGGGUCUCGUAAUUGGAAUGAGUACAAUCUAAAUCCCUUAACGAGGAACAAUUGGAGGGCAAGUCUGGUGCCAGCAGCCGCGGUAAUUCCAGCUCCAAUAGCGUAUAUUAAAGUUGUUGCAGUUAAAAAGCUCGUAGUUGAACCUUGGGUCUGGCUGGCCGGUCCGCCUCACCGCGAGUACUGGUCCGGCUGGACCUUUCCUUCUGGGGAACCUCAUGGCCUUCACUGGCUGUGGGGGGAACCAGGACUUUUACUGUGAAAAAAUUAGAGUGUUCAAAGCAGGCCUUUGCUCGAAUACAUUAGCAUGGAAUAAUAGAAUAGGACGUGCGGUUCUAUUUUGUUGGUUUCUAGGACCGCCGUAAUGAUUAAUAGGGAUAGUCGGGGGCGUCAGUAUUCAGCUGUCAGAGGUGAAAUUCUUGGAUUUGCUGAAGACUAACUACUGCGAAAGCAUUCGCCAAGGAUGUUUUCAUUAAUCAGGGAACGAAAGUUAGGGGAUCGAAGACGAUCAGAUACCGUCGUAGUCUUAACCAUAAACUAUGCCGACUAGGGAUCGGGCGGUGUUUCUAUGAUGACCCGCUCGGCACCUUACGAGAAAUCAAAGAAAGAAAGUUACGAAUCAAAGAAAAUUUUUUUCUAGAUGACCCGCUCGGCCUUACGAGAAAUCAAAGAAAGAAAGUUUUUUAAAAGGGGAUUGAUGAUG
rnacentral:rRNA from 1 species